rnacentral:lncRNA from 1 species
AAAGUCCCUUAUCAAAUGGUAAAAUCAAAUGAUAAAACACACCAAACGAAUGGAUAACAACUGUCAUAUUUCUGACUCGGUACUGGCAUUUUUAAAUUUUGAAAAUGGUGGAUUGAACCUGGUUUUAUAGCGCUUAACCUCUCACGUGUAUGACAGUCUCAUCAAAUUCUGUCAUAUUUACAACGAUGCGUGAACAAAACAGACAU